AUGGAUCGGGUGUGAUGAAAUGCCCGGAAUGCAAAGACAAACUGCAGAUAAAGAUAUCUGCAGAUGAUAUUAUGGAGCCUCCUUGGAAAGCUUAUAAUAUCAUGAGGAAGAUGGAUUAUCCUUACGAGCAUAUUGUUGAUAGUAUGAAGGACCCCAGCAUUGCUGCAUUUUGGUUGCUUACCUUGCCUCAGAUUGUGGGUGGAUUUGAAUAUGAUGAUGAUGUCAAGAAGAAGAUUUGGUGGCAAUAUAAGGAAUCUAUGCGAUAUGAUCAACUUCGAGAUGUGGUGGCCAAGAGAAAACCUGGAUGGGAGUAUUUGCAAGAAGCCUUGGUCUCUAUUGAUCCUGCCCGAGCAAGAGAAGAUCCUAUUAUUGUGAAAAACGUUCCUUACUUCAAGGCCAAGAAAACUCUGGAGGCAGAAGUCAUGAAGCUUGACCCUCCGCCGCGUCCUCAAAAUUGGGGGGAGUUGAACCUUCCAUUAAACGCAUCUUCUUGGAGUGAAAAGGACCUCAAAGACCCAAAAAAGCUCUAUGAGAUGACAGUUCUUCUUAAUGCACAGAGAGAAAUUUCUGAAAAGAUGCUGGAUGCCCAGUGGGAAGCGAAAUGGAGAGAAGAAAAGCUUAACAAAAUGUUGGAGGAGAAGGUACGACCAUACAUUCAGAAUAUCGACAAUACUGUACUUCCUCAACCUAUUGUUAUGGAGUCAGAAAGGAAUCAGGAUCAAAAGAGAAAGCAUGGACGAAGGAGAUGGUGGUUAUUUUGAUUGUAUUUGCUUAGCCAGUACAAUUGCUACUAGACUCAUGAGAAAUCUAAUGCUUAUAGCUACUUUUUUUUUUGUAGAUUGCAACAGUUCCUUUCAUUCUAGUUUUUCUUCCUCCUUUA
rnacentral:misc_RNA from 1 species